AUGACGAUUGAAACUGUUGUUCUACUGAUGGCAGAUGUGUUAGCAGUCAUCCUUAUUGGUCUGGUUCUUUUGCGAGUAAUGGGAAAACAGAAGUUUUGUACGGCGGAUAAACCAGUGAAUUCCAAUAGCGGCCUCACGAUCUUCUCGGAUACUCAGAUAAAGAGAGCAACUAGAAAUUUCUCGGAGAAACUUGGAGAAGGAGGCUUCGGCUGUGUUUUCAAGGGGACAUUGCAAGGUUCCUCCGUGGUGGCCGUCAAAAAGCUUAAAGACAUUAGGCAAGGGGAGAAGCAAUUCCGAGCAGAAGUGCAAACAGUUGGAAUCAUCCAGCACAUCAAUCUUGUUCGUUUAUAUGGGUUUUGUGCCGAGGGAAGCAAGAGGUUGCUGAUAUACGAGUACAUGGAGAACGGAUCUUUGAGUUCCCAUCUGUUUUCAAGGACUUCUGUAAAGCUAAUCUGGGAGCUCCGGUACCGUAUAGCAUUUGGGAUUGCAAGAGGCUUGGCUUAUCUACACGAGGAAUGCGAGGACUGCAUUAUACACUGCGACAUGAAGCCGGACAAUGUGCUCCUUGAUGCACAUUUCUGUCCUAAGAUUGCAGACUUCGGUAUGGCGAAGCUUCUUGGUCGAGAUUUCAACAGGGCCCUGACAACAAUGCGGGGAACCAUCGGAUACCUUGCACCGGAGUGGAUCUCGGGGCUUCCCAUCACACACAAAUCUGAUGUUUACAGCUACGGAAUGACACUUCUUGAGAUUAUAUCAGGGCGAAGGAAUGCAGAGAAAAUUAAGGAAGGGAGGUUCACUUACUUUCCCAUCUUUGCUGCAGUCAAGGUGGCCGAAAGAGAUGUCAUGUGCCUGCUGGAUAGUUGGCUGGAUGGCUAUGUCAAUGUCGAGCAGCUGAGCAGAGCUUGCAAGAUCGCAUGCUGGUGCAUCCAAGAUGAUGAGGAUCACAGGCCAAUGAUGGGGCAAGUUGUUCGCAUGCUAGAGGGUGUCAUGGAUGUUGAAGUGCCUUCUGUUGCGAGAACUAAACGAGUCUAUGCUUUAACUGGCCAAAGAGAAGAAAGAAAGAUUUUGGGAACCAGAUCCUCUGACUUGCACAAGGCAAGUUAG
rnacentral:rRNA from 1 species